rnacentral:rRNA from 1 species
AUUGAACGCUGGCGGCAGGCCUAACACAUGCAAGUCGAGCGGAUGAAGGGAGCUUGCUCUCUGAUUCAGCGGCGGACGGGUGAGUAAUGCCUAGGAAUCUGCCUGGUAGUGGGGGACAACGUUUCGAAAGGAACGCUAAUACCGCAUACGUCCUACGGGAGAAAGCAGGGGACCUUCGGGCCUUGCGCUAUCAGAUGAGCCUAGGUCGGAUUAGCUAGUAGGUGAGGUAAAGGCUCACCUAGGCGACGAUCCGUAACUGGUCUGAGAGGAUGAUCAGUCCCACUGGAACUGAGACACGGUCCAGACUCCUACAGGAGGCAGCAGUGGGGAAUAUUGGACAAUGGGCGAAAGCCUGAUCCAGCCAUGCCGCGUGUGUGAAGAAGGUCUUCGGAUUGUAAAGCACUUUAAGUUGGGAGGAAGGGCAGUAAGUUAAUACCUUGCUGUUUUGACGUUACCAACAGAAUAAGCACCGGCUAACUUCGUGCCAGCCGCCGCGGUAACAC